CUGUCUGCUAACCCAAAGAGUAGAGUCUUCAAAGAGAGACUGCUGGAUCUGCAGAAACAAAAUAAAUUCGCCCCUUCCCUAUGACCCUUAAUGAACCAAAACUGGGAAACGAUUUGUGGGAAGAGGCUGCAAAGAAACAACUGAAAAGCAAGAGAGCUUCUGGACACGCGGAUUCACAUUUUGUCGUCUCUGUCACCAGCCACUGUGUGGUACAAUGUCUUCUGAGUCCUGAGAAUUAGGACUGGUUCACAUAGAUCACUGCAGAAAAUGGAUCUCUUUCUCUCUUUCAGGAAAAAAAC